rnacentral:rRNA from 1 species
UCCGUAGGGUGCGAGCGUUGUCCGGAAUUAUUGGGCGUAAAGAGCUUGUAGGUGGUUUGUCGCGUCUGCUGUGAAAAUCCGAGGCUCAACCUCGGACUUGCAGUGGGUACGGGCAGACUAGAGUGUGGUAGGGGAGACUGGAAUUCCUGGUGUAGCGGUGGAAUGCGCAGAUAUCGAGAGGAACACCUGCGGCGAAGGCGGGUUGCUGGGCUGACACUGACGCUGAGGCGCGAAAGCCAGGGGAGCAAACGGG